rnacentral:rRNA from 1 species
CAGCCGCCGCGGGAAUACGAAGGGGGCUAGCGUUGCUCGGAAUUACUGGGCGUAAAGGGAGCGUAGGCGGACAUUUAAGUCAGGGGUGAAAUCCCAGAGCUCAACUCUGGAACUGCCUUUGAUACUGGGUGUCUUGAGUGUGAUAGAGGUAUGUGGAACUCCGAGUGUAGAGGUGAAAUUCGUAGAUAUUCGGAAGAACACCAGUGGCGAAGGCGACAUACUGGAUCAUUACUGACGCUGAGGCUCGAAAGCGUGGGGAGCAAACAGGAUUAGAUACCCGCGUAGUCCCUGUCUCUUAUAU